rnacentral:rRNA from 1 species
AUUGAACGCUGGCGGCAUGCUUUACACAUGCAAGUCGAACGGCAGCGCCGUCUUCGGCCUGGCUGCGAGUGGCGAACGGGUGUGUAAUGCACCUGAACGUGCCCAGUUGGGGGGUAGAACACGGUGAAAGCCGUAUUAAUACUGCAGACGACCAGAUGGUGCAAGCGGGGGAGCGAAGGGCCUCGUGCUAUUGGAGGGGUGGAUGUCGGAUUUGCUAGAUGGUUGGGUAAAGGGUUACCAAGGCGGCGAUCCGUAGGUGGUCUGCGUGGCCGACCAGCCACACUGGGGCUGAGACACGGACAAGACUCCUACGGGAGGCAGCAGUGGGGAAUUUUGGACAAUGGGGGCAAACCUGAUCCAGCCAUGCCGAGUGCGGUAAGAAGGCCUUCGGGUUGUAAAGAGCUUUUGUUCGGGAAGAAAUCCUGUGGGCUAAUACCCCGCGGGGAUGACGGUACCGGAAGAAUAAGCACCGGCUAACUACGUG